AUAGUCAUCUUGUGCCGGGACCUCGUUGAUCACCCAGGAUGAGCCCCCAGGGCGAGGCACGGGCAUUGCACUACACUCGCGUUGACCACUUUCACUAUUCCAAAGUGAGGCAGAUGGGGAACACAAAUUGAUUCAAUGCGGUUCAACACGAGAGAGGGCGCCACCGCC
rnacentral:snRNA from 1 species